rnacentral:rRNA from 1 species
AGCGGCGUACGGGUGCGGAACACGUGUGCAACCUGCCUUUAUCAGGGGGAUAGCCUUUCGAAAGGAAGAUUAAUACCCCAUAAUAUUUUGAGUGGCAUCACUUAAAAUUGAAAACUGAGGUGGAUAAAGAUGGGCACGCGCAAGAUUAGAUAGUUGGUGAGGUAACGGCUCACCAAGUCGAUGAUCUUUAGGGGGCCUGAGAGGGUGAUCCCCCACACUGGUACUGAGACACGGACCAGACUCCUACGGGAGGCAGCAGUGAGGAAUAUUGGACAAUGGGUUAGCGCCUGAUCCAGCCAUCCCGCGUGAAGGACGACGGCCCUAUGGGUUGUAAACUUCUUUUGUACAGGGAUAAACCUAUCUACGUGUAGAUAGCUGAAGGUACUGUACGAAUAAGCACCGGCUAACUCCGUGCCAGCAGCCGCGGUAAUACGGAGGGUGCAAGCGUUAUCCGGAUUUAUUGGGUUUAAAGGGUCCGUAGGCGGAUGUGUAAGUCAGUGGUGAAAUCUCACAGCUUAACUGUGAAACUGCCAUUGAUACUGCAUGUCUUGAGUAAGGUAGAAGUGGCUGGAAUAAGUAGUGUAGCGGUGAAAUGCAUAGAUAUUACUUAGAACACCAAUUGCGAAGGCAGGUCACUAUGUCUUAACUGACGCUGAUGGACGAAAGCGUGGGGAGCGAACAGGAUUAGAUACCCUGGUAGUCCACGCUGUAAACGAUGCUUACUCGUUUUUGGGCUUUUAAAGUUCAGAGACUAAGCGAAAGUGAUAAGUAAGCCACCUGGGGAGUACGAACGCAAGUUUGAAACUCAAAGGAAUUGACGGGGGCCCGCACAAGCGGUGGAUUAUGUGGUUUAAUUCGAUGAUACGCGAGGAACCUUACCAAGGCUUAAAUGGAAUUGAUCGGUUUAGAAAUAGACCUUCCUUCGGCAAUUUUCAAGGUGCUGCAUG